rnacentral:rRNA from 1 species
GAUGAACGCUGGCGGCGUGCCUAAUACAUGCCAGUCGAGCGAACAGACGAGGAGCUUGCUCCUCUGACGUUGGCGGCGGACGGGUGAGUAACACGUGGAUAACCUACCUAUAAGACUGGGAUAACUUCGGGAAACCGGAGCUAAUACCGGAUAAUAUAUUGAACCGCAUGGUUCAAUAGUGAAAGACGGUUUUGCUGUCACUUAUAGAUGGAUCCGCGCCGCAUUAGCUAGUUGGUAAGGUAACGGCUUACCAAGGCAACGAUGCGUAGCCGACCUGAGAGGGUGAUCGGCCACACUGGAACUGAGACACGGUCCAGACUCCUACGGGAGGCAGCAGUAGGGAAUCUUCCGCAAUGGGCGAAAGCUUGACGGAGCAACGCCGCGUGAGUGAUGAAGGUCUUCGGAUCGUAAAACUCUGUUAUUAGGGAAGAACAAAUGUGUAAGUAACUAUGCACGUCUUGACGGUACCUAAUCAGAAAGCCACGGCUAACUACGUG